CGCCAUAUCAUGUUGAAACACCUGUUCCCGUAUGAUCGCCAAAGUUAAACAGCAUAGAACCUGGUCAGUACCUAGAUGGGUGACCAGCUGAGAAUAUCAGGUGCUGUAAG